UUAACACAAUAAAAAAGAAAGAUUUGGGGGAAAUGGGAACCAGCCUUGCGCAUCUAAAACAGAAGCUAUACAAGUGGGGAAAAAGGGACGCAGAAGAGGAACAAAGGAGAAGAAGAAGAAAGAGGCUGGAAGCAAACUUCGAAAAUUUUAAAUAUGUACUGGCUCUUACGGGUAGUUGAAGAAGUCAAACGAAGUGCUCGCAACGAUAAGUUUGAUAUUUCUGCACGAGUACUAGACAUCAGUUGACGCAGGUGAGGGUUUUGUUAAUUAGAGCGCACAAGUUGAGAAUUCUUGGUGAGCCUCGCACUUGUUCGCGUGGGCGGAGAUUUUUAUCAAUUGUUAUGGUCUUUCCUUUAAAUUCUUAGAGUCGCUCUAUAGUCAUUCUUUUAGUGUCAUGAGUAUUAUUUUGCUAUUAGUCUUAUGUUGAGUAUCGUUCUUUAGUAUCAAAAUUGGAGAUAAUUAGUGUUUCUGGUUGUUAGUGGGUUGAUUAGUAAUGGUGGAGACUUCGGUUUUGGCAAAUUGAUAAGUUGUCAAUUGUUUGGUAUGAUAUUAGGAUGUUUGGUUGCUGAUUG